rnacentral:rRNA from 1 species
AGGCGGCCUUAUAAGUCAGUGGUGAAAACCGGCGGCUCAACCGCAGGCUUGCCUCUGAAACUGUAAGGCUUGAGGACAGGAGAGGAGAGUGGAAUUCCCAGUGUAGCGGUGAAAUGCGUAGAUAUUGGGAGGAACACCAGUGGCGAAGGCGACUCUCUGGCCUGCACCUGACGCUGAGGCGCGAAAGCGUGGGGAUCAAACAGGAUUAGAUACCCUGGUAGUCCACGCCGUAAACGAUGGGUGCUAGGUGUUGGGGGUGUAGAAUCCUCCAGUGCCGUAGUUAACGCGAUAAGCACCCCGCCUGGGGAGUACGGUCGCAAGACUGAAACUCAAAGGAAUUGACGGGGGCCCGCACAAGCGGUGGAGCAUGUGGUUUAAUUCGACGCAACCCGUAGAACCUUACCAGGGCUUGACAUCCCGUGACAGCCGUAGAGAUAUGGUUUUCUGUUUUUAACAGACACGGAGACAGGUGGUGCAUGGUUGUCGUCAGCUCGUGUCGUGAGAUGUUGGGUUAAGUCCCGCAACGAGCGCAACCCCUAUCUCUAGUUGCCAGCACUUUGGGUGGGAACUCUAGAGAGACUGCCGUUGACAAAACGGAGGAAGGUGGGGAUGACGUCAAAUCAUCAUGCCCCUUAUGUCCUGGGCUACACACGUGCUACAAUGGCCGGUACAGAGGGCAGCGAAGCCGCGAGGUAUAGCAAAUCCCUUCAUAGCCGGUCCUAGUUCGGAUUGCAGGCUGCAACUCGCCUGCAUGAAGGCGGAAUCGCUAGUAAUCGCAG